AUAAUAAAAUUGAAAUAAUUUAAUUAAUUUAAUAAAUUUAUUUUAUUUUUAUUUUAUUUUUAAUAAACUGAAAAGGAAUUUAUUAUUAUAAUUUAAUAGAAAAAUUAAUGUACCUUUUGCAUUAGGGGUUUUUAAAAAAAAAUAAAAUUUUAUUUUUCUCGAAAUAUUUUGAGCUAAAAUUUAAUUUUUCUAAUGUUUCAAUAUUAAAAUAAAAUAAAUUUUAGAGGUGAAAUUCUUAUCAAAAAAUAUAAUAUCUAGUUAAAAAAAAUUAAUUAAAUAUUAUUUUGUAAAUAUUAAUUUAUUUUUUAAAACUACAAAAAAAAGUUUUUGGGAUAAGCUAAAAAUUAUUAAAUUUAUAAUAUUUUAAAAAAUAAUAAAAGAAUUAAAAUUUUUCUAUUUAUUUUUAUAAAUAAAUUAAGUUAAAUUGAAAUAAAAGAAUUUAUUUUUUUAAAUUAAAUUUAAUUAAAAAUUUAAAAAAAAAUGAAAAUAUUAGUAAAAAAAUUUUUUUUUGUAAUUAUUAAUAAUUAAUUAAAAAUUAAUUUAAUUUAAUUUUUAAGAACUAGGCAAUUAUUUUUUUUUGACUGUUUAAUAAAAACAACGCAUUUAGAUAAACAAUAAAUGCAAAUCCUGCUCAAUGAAAUUUUUUUUAAAUUGCUGUAGUAUUUUGACUAUACAAAGGUAUUGAAAUAAGAUUUUAAUUGAAUGCUAAGAGAAUGGAAUAUCAAAAAACAACUUUCUUAAAAUUAAAAAUUGAAAUUUUUUUAAUUUGUGUAAAAACAAUUAUAAAAAUUAAAGACAAGAAGACCCUAAGAAUUUUUAAAAUUUAAAUAAUACAUUUUUUGUUUUAAUUAAAUUUUAACUGGGGCGGUUAAAAAAUAUUAAAAACUUUUUAAUUUAAAAAUGACCCAUUAUUAAUGAAAAUAUGAUUAAAUACUCUAGGGAUAACAGCGUUAUAUUUUUUGAUAGAUCAUAUUGACAAAAAAGUUUGCGACCUCGAUGUUGGAUUAGGAUACUUUUUUAAUGAAGAUAUUAAAAUAAGAAGUUUGUUCAACUUUUAAAUUCCUACAUGAUCUGAGUUUAGACCGAUGAGAAUCAGGUUGGAUUCUAUCUUAAUAAAAAACAAAUUUUAUUUAGUACGAAAGGAAUUUUAAAAUCUAAUUUUUAGUUUUAUUUAUUUAUUUUAUUUGCAUCAAUUUUUGUAAUU
rnacentral:rRNA from 1 species